rnacentral:rRNA from 1 species
GCCAGACUCCUACGGGAGGCAGCAGUGGGGAAUAUUGCACAAUGGGGGAAACCCUGAUGCAGCAACGCCGCGUGAGUGAAGAAGUAUUUCGGUAUGUAAAGCUCUAUCAGCGGGGAAGAAGAAGGACGGUACCUGACUAAGAAGCCCCGGCUAACUACGUGCCAGCAGCCGCGGUAAUACGUAGGGGGCGAGCGUUAUCCGGAAUUACUGGGUGUAAAGGGAGCGUAGGCGGGGGAACAAGUUGAAUGUUUAAGGUAUGGGCUCAACUCAUAUAAGCGUUCAAAACUGUUUUUCUUGGGUGAAGUAGAGGUAAGCGGCAUUCCUAGUGUAGCGGUGGAAUGCGUAAAUAUUAGGAGGAACACCAGUGGCGAAGGCGGCUUACUGGGCUUUAACUGACGCUGAGGCUCGAAAGCGUGGGUAGCAAACAGGAUUAGAUACCCUUGUACUA